rnacentral:rRNA from 1 species
UACAGAGGGUGCAAGCAUUAAUCGGAUUUAUUGGGCGUAAAAGAGCGCGUAGGCGGGGUUUUUUAAAGUCAGAUGUGAAAAUCCCCGGGGCUCAACCCCCGGAACAGCAUUUGAAAACUGAGAAUCUUGAGGGUAGUCGGAGAAAAAUGGAAUUCCACGUGUAGCGGUGAAAUGCGUAGAUAUGUGGAAGAACACCGGUGGCGAAGGCGAUUUUCUAGAUUAUUCCUGACGCUGAGGCGCGAAAAGCAAGGGGAUCAAACAGG